GCAGUUAAAAAGCUCGUAGUUGAAUUUUGGGUCUGGCCGGGCGGUCCACCUUCUGGUGAGCACUGUUCCGACGCCGGGCCUAUCCUUCUGGUGAGACGGCAUGCCCUUCGCUGGGUGUGUCGGGGAACCAGGACCAUUACCUUGAAAAAAUUAGAGUGUUCAAAGCAGGCAUUUGCUCGAAUACAUUAGCAUGGAAUAAUGAAAUAGGACGCGUGGUACUAUUUUGUUGGUUUCUAGGACCGCCGUAAUGAUUAAUAGGGAUAGUUGGGGGCAUUAGUAUUCAAUUGUCAGAGGUGAAAUUCUUGGAUUUAUUGAAGACUAACUUCUGCGAAAGCAUUUGCCAAGGAUGUUUUCAUUAAUCAAGAACGAAAGUUAGGGGAUCGAAGACGAUCAGAUACCGUCGUAGUCUUAACCAUAAACUAUGCCGACUAGGAAUCGGGCGAUGUUAUUUUAACGACUCGCCCGGCGCCUUAUGGNAAACCAAAGUUUUUGGNUU
rnacentral:rRNA from 1 species